rnacentral:rRNA from 1 species
AACCUAUAUAGUAGUAUUAUAUACAUCAUAGCAGUACAGAAUGUGUUUGUACAACUUGCACUUAAAAAGUGCUUUUUGUUUACGUUCGGGGGGAUCGUGAAGAUCUUACUUGCAAGUUUUUGUGCUCGGAAGGGUUAUGAUGACUAUAUAAUAAUCAGACAUAGUAUGCUAAGGUAGUAUGUCUAAAGGGAAACAGCCCAGAACAAGAGUUAAUAAGGUUCCAAAAUUAUUGUUAAGUGAAAAUAAGGAAGUUUCAAUCAAAAAUGCCCAGGAAAUAGACUUAGACGCGGCCAUUUUUUAAAGACCUCGUAACAGAGCACUGGUUCAGUAAAUUAUUUUAAUAAUUUAUAUUGAUAAAAGCACCGAAAAUUUAACGGAUCUAAACAAUAUACCGAGACCUUGUCCAUAUUUAUAUAUAUAUCUAAGUUGUAUAUUGUAUUUAUGGGGUAGCAGAACAUUGGGCAAACCUCAGAUUUUUUUCUUUUUAAGACUUAAGAUAAGAUAACCCAAGUGAUAAUGCUGACAUGAGUAACGAUAAAGGGAAUGAGUUAUUCCCUCGCCUAAAACUUAUGGUAUUUACUUAAAGUAACGGCCUCUAAGUUUAUGAACCUAAAGGACUAAACGAUGAGAAAAUCUUCCACUUUUUUCUUUUUUUCUAUUUUUAUCGCUAUUUUUUUCUCGUUUUACUCUUGUAAAAGAAAAAACGAAGGGAUAAAAAACGAAAAAGAAAAAAAGCAAAAUGCAAAAAAACAACCUUAAGGCUAGACUUAUAAAGCUAUAGGUUUAGUGCUAGUGCUGAAGUGAAAAGGUUCUGGAAAAUUUUAAGUGGUGCAUCAUGGAUAAUGGGGAGGAGGAAAUCUCCUGCCUGCUAUGGUGUAAAAACACCGUACCUAGAAACUACCCCAGUAAGUUAGUAGAGAUACGAAGGCGUUUGAGUGAACAAUCAUUAAGGA